rnacentral:tRNA from 1 species
GCGGGGAUUCCGGAGCGGUCAAACGGAGCAGACUCAAGAUCUGCUGGCCCAGCGCCUUCGCAGGUUCGAAUCCUGUUCCCCGCA